UACGGAGGGGGCUAGCGUUGUUCGGAAUUACUGGCGUAAAGCGCACGUAGGCGGAUCAGUCAGUCAGGGGUGAAAUCCCGGGGCUCAACCCCGGAACUGCCUUUGAUACUGCUGGUCUUGAGGUCGAGAGAGGUGAGUGGAAUUCCGAGUGUAGAGGUGAAAUUCGUAGAUAUUCGCAAGAACACCAGUGGCGAAGGCGGCUCGACUGGUCC
rnacentral:rRNA from 1 species